rnacentral:lncRNA from 1 species
GUUGGAUUAAAGGAUGUAUUUAGUAAUGGUGGUUAUUAAUUUAUUUUAUAUUUAGAACAUUUACAUUGGGCAUGGCUCAUCGUCGGCUCGAGCCGACCUUUGCGAUGAGCUAAGUCCAUGCCAAGUAAUGGAGACUCGAGGCGCAACUCAUGCUUAAGCGCAUGACUCUUUCGGCGAAAAUUAAUGGCCUGUGUCUGGAUAA